rnacentral:lncRNA from 1 species
AAAAAAAUUGGACGAAUUAAAAAUUGGACCAUAUGAAAUAACAGAAAAACUAUCAAAUUCCAUUUAUAAAGUAAAUAUGAAUCGGAAGAAGUCAGACUCUAAUCUAUUCCAUAUCUCGAAGCUGGUUCCAUUCCCUAUACAGGAAGAAGGUCAAGAUGAAGAUGGUAACGAAAAUAUUUGAAUAUUUUCACCUUUGGGAAGGAUGAUGUAAUGAAACUACAUAUUAUACUUUCAUCAUAUUAAUAUUGCUGUGCUCCAAGAUGUCAUCUCAAAUUGGAAUUUCAAAUUGGAACGCAGUCAGCCAACGUUAGAAAUUCGGAACACACUCCUGGCCUGCCGAACCGUCACUAGCUGAGAAGAGAUUGGAUUGACAGACGUCGUCAUUUAUGAAAUGUCAAGCAUUUAUGAAACUUUUAUUUUCACUUAUUUGUAGAAAUAAUCAUAGAUUGGGAAUAUUGACAUUAAAUGUCGUUUCUUUAUUCUAGAGCAACACAGCUGUCCUUAUUCCUAUAAAUAUCAUUACA